AUUCCCUGGCAAUUGGCAAAGGGACACCAUGUUGGUAGUGUAGUUCUCAUAUCAUUCAGGGGCAGAGCAAAUGGCAGUCCUUUGUUCAUCUAGCUUGAUACCUGGCUUAGUGGCCAAAGGUGUCUUAUGCCUAGGUCUUAUAA